GAUGAACGCUGGCGGCGUGCCUAAUACAUGCAAGUCGAGCGAACAGAUGAGGAGCUUGCUCCUCUGACGUUAGCGGCGGACGGGUGAGUAACACGUGGAUAACCUACCUAUAAUACUGGGAUAACUUCGGGAAACCGGCGCUAAUACCGGAUAAUAUAUUGAACCGCAUGGUUCAAUAGUGAAAGACGGUUGUGCUGUCACUUAUAGAUGGAUCUGCGCCGGAUUAGAUAGUUGUUAAGGUAACGGCCUUCCAAGGCAACGAUGCGUAGACGACCUGAGAGGGUGAUAGCCCACCUUGGAACUGAGACGCGGUCCAGGCUACUACGGGAGGCAGCAGUCGGGAAUCGGCCGCAAUGGGCGAGAGUAUGACGGAGCAACGCCGCGUGAGUGAUGGAGGUCUUCGGAUCGUAAAACUCUGUUAUUAGGGAAGAACAACUGUGUAAGUAACUAUGCACGUAUUGACGGUACCUAAUCAGAAAGCCACGGCUAACUACGUG
rnacentral:rRNA from 1 species